CUGCUGUAUAGAAGAAAUUAAAGCAACACUGUACAUCAACUAGACUUCAAUAAAACUUCCUUUAAAUAAAGAAGGCAAAGAGAAGGCACCAUGGGGCCCUAUGGCUACUGACUCUGCCAUUUAUCAGCUAUGUCUCCUGGGGCCACCACUUCAUGUGACUCUUGAUUGCAAAGUGAAGGAGACACGAGUUUGAUCCUUGAGCCAGGAAGAUCCCGGAGCAUGCUGUGAGCAGCUAAGAACCACAACUACUGAAGCCCACGCAUCCUGGAGCCUAUGGUCCUCAACAAGAGGAGUCACCGCAAUGAGAAGC